GGUGUAAACCACACACCUGAGAACUUCUGCUUCUGAUGCACUGGAAUCAACCACUAAAUGAAUGGACAACCAACAACCGAGAAAAUGGCACACAACUGGUCCUGCACACCGGCAGAAUACAUUCUCCUAUAAGUGCAAACAUUUCCACCCAACAAUAAGGGGCCCAUCCAGUGUACAGACAGCUCUCCACGUACUUAAACCGACGCUGGGAGAACUUCAUGCAUCCAGAAAGUGUAGUAUGGGGUGCAUCAGCAGGUACAUACGGCACAGCCAGACGCUUCUGCUCCGCCGUGAGCUCCCCAGGGUUUCCACACAUCCCUAUAAGAAGCCGGCUUCCCAGACUCACCCGGAGAAGUCGGUGGACAGGAUGCCAUAGCUGAAGAUGUAGGCACGGCUGAUCUGGCAGAUUGUGAGG